rnacentral:rRNA from 1 species
CUGUAUGGUCAAGCGAGUAAGCGCAUACGGUGGAUGCCUUGGCAGUUGGAGGCGAUGAAGGACGUAGGAGCCUGCCGAUAAGCUUCGGGGAGGUGGCAAACACCCUUUGAUCCGAAGAUUUCCGAAUGGGGAAACCCACCCGUCAUAAGGCGGGUAUCAUGCACUGAAUACAUAGGUGUAUGAAGCGAACCCGGAGAACUGAAACAUCUAAGUACCCGGAGGAAAAGAAAUCAACCGAGAUUCCCUUAGUAGCGGCGAGCGAAAGGGGACUAGCCUGCAAGUAAUAGCAGAAGUGUUAGUGGAACAGUCUGGAAAGUCUGGCAAUAGAGGGUGAUAGCCCCGUACACGAAAACUCAUCUGUGGUACUAAGCUUGCGAAAAGUAGGUCGGGACACGUGUUAUCUUGACUGAACAUGGGGGGACCAUCCUCCAAGGCUAAAUACUACCAACUGACCGAUAGUGAACCGGUACCGUGAGGGAAAGGCGAAAAGAACCCCGGAGAGGGGAGUGAAAUAGAACCUGAAACCGUAUGCGUACAAGCAGUAGGAGCAGACUUGUUCUGUGACUGCGUACCUUUUGUAUAAUGGGUCAGCGACUUAUUUUCAGUGGCAAGGUUAACCGUUUAGGGGAGCCGUAGGGAAACCGAGUCUUAAUAGGGCGUCUUAGUCGCUGGGAAUAGACCCGAAACCGGGCGAUCUAUCCAUGGCCAGGUUGAAGGUUGAGUAACAUCAACUGGAGGACCGAACCCACUAAUGUUGAAAAAUUAGGGGAUGAGCUGUGGAUCGGAGUGAAAGGCUAAUCAAGCCCGGAGAUAGCUGGUUCUCCUCGAAAGCUAUUUAGGUAGCGCCUCAUGUCUCACCACUGGGGGUAGAGCACUGUUUCGGCUAGGGGGUCAUACCGACUUACCAACCCGAUGCAAACUCCGAAUACCAGUGAGUGCGAUCAUGGGAGACACACGGCGGGUGCUAACGUUCGUCGUGGAGAGGGAAACAACCCAGACCGCCAGCUAAGGUCCCAAAUAUCAGUUAAGUGGGAAACGAUGUGGGAAGGCUCAGACAGCUAGGAAGUUGGCUUAGAAGCAGCCAUCUUUUAAAGAAAGCGUAAUAGCUCACUAGUCGAGUCGGCCUGCGCGGAAGAUUUAACGGGGCUAAACUGAUAACCGAAGCUGCGGACGCAUACUUGUAUGCGUGGUAGAGGAGCGUUCUGUAAGCCGUUGAAGGUGCAUCGUAAGGUGUGCUGGAGGUAUCAGAAGUGCGAAUGCUGACGUGAGUAACGAUAAAGCGGGUGAAAAACCCGCUCGCCGGAAGAUCAAGGUUUCCUGUCCAACGCUAAUCGGGACAGGGUUAGUCGGUACCUAAGGCGAGGCCGAAAGGCGUAGUCGAUGGAAAACAGGUUAAUAUUCCUGUACCGCUAUAUACUGCGAUGAGGGGACGGAGAAGGCUAGAUGAUCAGGGCGAUGGUUGUCCCUGUAUAAGCUUGUAGGGAGAUCUCUUAGGUAAAUCCGGGAGAUCACUAUCCUGAGGAGUUAUGUCGAGCUCAAUUGCGAGCGAAGUCAUUAAUGCCAUGCUUCCAAGAAAAGCCUCUAAGCUUCAGGUAUGUAGCGACCGUACUCUAAACCGACACAGGUGAUCAGGUAGAGAAUACCAAGGCGCUUGAGAGAACUAUGGUGAAGGAACUAGGCAAAAUGGUGCCGUAACUUCGGGAGAAGGCACGCCGAUUUUGGUGAUAGGAUUUACUCCUUAAGCUGAGGUUGGCCGCAGAGACCAGGCCCCUGCGACUGUUUAUCUAAAACACAGCACUCUGCAAACUCGUAAGAGGAAGUAUAGGGUGUGACGCCUGCCCGGUGCCGGAAGGUUAAUUGAUGGGGUUAGCUUCGGCGAAGCUCUUGAUCGAAGCCCCGGCAAACGGCGGCCGUAACUAUAACGGUCGUAAGGUA